rnacentral:rRNA from 1 species
GACGAACGCUGGCGGCGUGCCUAAUACAUGCAAGUAGAACGCACAGUUUAUACCGUAGCUUGCUACACCAUAGACUGUGAGUUGCGAACGGGUGAGUAACGCGUAGGUAACCUGCCUGGUAGCGGGGGAUAACUAUUGGAAACGAUAGCUAAUACCGCAUAAUAUUAAUUAUUGCAUGAUAAUUAAUUGAAAGGUGCAAUUGCACCACUACCAGAUGGACCUGCGUUGUAUUAGCUAGUAGGUGAGGUAACGGCUCACCUAGGCGACGAUACAUAGCCGACCUGAGACGGUGAUCGGCCACACUGGGACUGAGACACGGCCCAGACUCCUACGGGAGGCAGCAGUAGGGAAUCUUCGGCAAUGGACGAAAGUCUGACCGAGCAACGCCGCGUGAGUGAAGAAGGUUUUCGGAUCGUAAAGCUCUGUUGUAAGAGAAGAACGGGUGUGAGAGUGGAAAGUUCACACUGUGACGGUAUCUUACCAGAAAGGGACGGCUAACUACGUG